AUGAAAAAGGCAAAACGUACGAAAGUGCGUGACGCAAAGCUAUGGGGACUAAAUCGCUUGCGCGACAGGUCAGCCCGGC
rnacentral:ncRNA from 1 species